AUUGAACGCUGGCGGCAGGCCUAACACAUGCAAGUCGAGCGAACGAAGGGGGCUUGCUCCCGGAUUCAGCGGCGGACGGGUGGGUAAUGCCUAGGAGUCUGCCUGAUCUUGGGGAAUCACGUACGGAAACGGGCGCUGAUAUAGCAUAGGACCAUAGAUAGAAAGUGGGGGAUCUUCGGUCUUAGCGGUUUCUGAUGUGCCUUGGUCGGAUUAGCUAGUUGGUGGGGUAAGGGCUUACCAAGGCGACGUUCCGUAACUGGGCUGAGAGGGUGAUCGGUCACACUGGAACUGAGACACGGUCCAGACUCCUACGGGAGGCAGCAGUAGGGAAUCUUGCGCAAUGGGCGAAAGCGUGAUCGAGCCAAGCCGCGUGAGUGAUGAAGGUCUUCGGAUUGUAAAACACUGUAAGUUGGGAGGAAGGAAAGUGAGUGUAUCCCUGGCUGUAUUGACGGUACCUACAGAAUAAGCCCCGGCUAACUUCGUG
rnacentral:rRNA from 1 species